GAUGGCUUGUUUCUGGCAACGUGGCAGAACCCACCGGAUAGAAACAAAUCCGGACUACCCAAAAGGGUCCGGUUUCAACGGCCCGAAAAUUCUCUGGCAUUCCUUCUUCCCCACGUUCCACCCUCUCCCCAACUACUGCCAUGGUUUCUGCGACCUGUGAGGAAAAAUGUCCAAGCCAAACCUCAAUUUCCCUUCCAAAACUUCGCUUUCCAACCCGUUCAUGUCUCAGAACCAGCUCAUCGACUCGCUCACCUCCCACAUAUCCCUCUAUAGCUCACAUUCCAGCUUCCACUCCCCAAACCCUAAUUCUAACCCCAUCAGGUCCUCCAUUCUCAAAUGGUUCUCAUCUCUCACCGUAUACCAGCGCCAAGCUCAUCUAACGGCCGUAGAUUCCAACUUCGUACGACUCCUCUUCCAGAUGCUCCGCAGAGUCCACACCCAUGGCCGCGGCUCCUUCAUCAUCCUCCCCGACCUCCCCUCACAUGACCUCCCCGGCCUCUGCUUCAAGAAGUCACGAGGUCUCCUCUCCCGCGUCGCCGACUCCAACGAGUCGGAACGGCUACUCUUUGACUCGACUCGGUUCUUUGCCUCCUCGGAAGGCGAAAACAUCAACGAGUGCUCUUGUUCGAUCAAGAAUGUCGACACAGUGACGGUUAGCGAGGAGUUGGUCGAGAAUUUUGAUAGGUUCGUGAAUACUAUGGAUGAAAUAUCGAAUAGGGGCUUCUUGAGAGGUGAAGAGACCGAGUUGGGAUCGGAUUGGGUCGAAUUGGAGUGGUUGAAGGCGAAAGGGUACUAUACCAUGGAGGCUUUUGUGGCGAAUAGGUUGGAAGUGGCGCUGAGGCUGGCGUGGCUGAAUUGUAAUAAUGGGAGGAAAAGGGGAGUGAAGUUGAAGGAGAAGGCAAGUGCGGCAGGCGUUGCGGCCAAUGUGUUUUGGAGGAAGAAGGGCUGUGUGGAUUGGUGGGUUAAUUUGGAUACCGUGACUAGGAGGAAGAUUUUGACAGUGGCGUUGGGGAAAUCAGCAAAAGCUUUGACUCAUGAGAUUCUGAAGGGUGCAACUAGUGGUUUGGAGGAUGAGAUGUGGCUUUUAAGUGCAGGAGUGGAACAUCCAGAGAGAUACAAUCAUGCUGUCACAAUGCAAAAGACUAUCCCCAGUGUCACUGCAGAGGCAGAACUUGGCUCGAUCAUUACCCCUGCUACUCUUUUGGGCAAACAUACUUCCUUAGCCAAUGCAUUUAAUAGCAUACUUGUGCUUCAGGAUAUUAUUAUGAUUAUAUUCUCAUGUCAUAGUAGUGUGUAUGAUAAAGGGAAAGUGUUUUUUAGCACAUUGGGAUCUGUUUGUACCAUUUCUGAUUGUAUAUUUAGAAAACUGCGAGGAUUUCUUAUGGUGGUUUCACUUGAUUGCACAAAACUUGAACUUCUGGGGGAGGAAAUCAAGAAGUCAUCACCUAAUAAAUCCAAUGAAAAGCUUGGUGCUGUUAGCCGUAGGAAGAAGGCGAGGACCCGCAAUAUGAAAAAGGAUGUUAAUUGUGCAAUUGCACAUGAACAGAAGGUAGAUUUGAUGGAGCCCAAAAAGAUACCUUAUAUUCCUCAGGAGAAAGAGAGUUGCAGAGAGAUGUCAACUGUUCUGGUGGAACAUGCCCGAGGAAUGGUGGUUGAAAAAGCUCAAACUUCUUCGAGGAAGAGUAAGAAAGAAAAAAACAAAAAUAAAAAACCUGGGUUUAACAAUCUUGUGCAAGUGAGAAAUUUGGAGAGAUCAGUCCAGGAAGAUUCCUCUCACUCUGUUGUUUCUCAGGGUAAGGCAGCAAAGUCUGGUCGAGCAUCAGAUAAUUCAACCGCCCAGAAUGAAAUAGUUGAUAAUCCAAUUGGCAAUAAUACCCUUGCAUCUGAUUCAAGUCUCCGUUGUGGUUUUGCUAAUGGGCCUACUAAGGAGGAUGAUGCCAUGGAAAGUAUUCAAGGAGCAUCUGAUAUUUCAACCAGUCAGAAUGCAACAGCUGAUAAUACAACUGGUACUAAUAUCCUUCCAUCAAAUUCAAGUCUUCCUAGUAGUUCUGCUAAUGGGCAUAAUGGGGCGGAUAAUCCCAUGCAAAGCAUUCGAGCAGGUUAUAUUAAUGGUUCUAGUGAUAGUUUAUGUUGUAUUGAUCCAGAGUGUUAUAACUUACCUAACAAUAGGCUUGCAAAUCAAAGUAUAUCUUCCAGAAUUGAAACCCUAAUUUGUAAUACAGAGCCUCCUACUAUGCCUGCAUUGGAGGUUGAUACUGUUCUCAGCAAUGGAGAUAUCGAUUCUCAGAAUUGUGCAAAUAGACGUGAAACUAAUGUGAAAAUAACUUUUCCUGACAAACCAAUCCGACCUUUUGAUGUGAAAGAGGAGUCUUUUCGGGUUAGAGAUUCAGGGAGUGUAAAUACAUAUGAUACUGGACUGUCAAAUUCUUCAGAGCGCCCUUCAAAUGAGUGGCCCAUUGUAGCUCCCUUUUAUUUUCCCUCUUUCAACUCACAUCUCCCAGCUGCCACUGAUCGAUUGCAUCUGGAUGUUGGUCGGAACUGGCAUAAUCACUUCCAACAAUCAUUCAUACCCACAAUGCAUCAUGCGAGAAACUCUCCAAUUGAAGGUGGGUGUAACCCAGUUCUGUCUCGACCAUUACCAAUGAGUUUAGAUUGGCCGCCAGUGGUUCGAAGUGCUUGUGGACUGGCUCCAUCAGUAACUUGUAAUUAUGAGUCUGGAUUUAUCCCAAGGCUGCAGUCUACAUAUCCACAAGGUUUCACCCCUCACAACCUGCGGCUUAAUGCAAUGUCCAUAGAUGACGAAAGGAAGUAUUCUGGGGAUGUCACAGACUUGGUAACGAAUACACAGGAACUAGCAGACGAAUGUGAUAGCCACUGCAUAUCAGAGGAGGAUGUUGAGGUGCAUCCUGUUUCUGGGAUGGAUUAUAAUCAAUACUUUGGCGGAGGUGUGAUGUACUGGAAUCCUUCUGAUCUUCCAGGGACAGGUUUCUCUCGACCUCCUUCACUAAGUUCUGAUGAUAGCUCAUGGGCUUGGCGUGAGGCUGAUAUGAUUAGGGCUGUUGAUGAUAUGGUUGCAUAUUCUUCUUCGUAUAGUACGAACGGCUUGACUUCACCAACUGCAGCUUCAUUUGGUUCGCCUUUUGAUCCUUUGGGUCCUGGUGCUCUUGGCUAUGUAAUGCCGGGAAGUGAAGUACCUGGCAAGAUGUUGCAUCCCUCUUCAGCAUUGGCAGACACGACAGCAGAGGAGGAACCUACUGGUUCUUUGUCCAAUUUACCCAGUGAUGUUGAAGGGAAGACAGGAGACUCACUUCCUUACCCCAUUCUGCGGCCAAUCAUCAUUCCCCAUAUGUCUAGAGAAAGAUCAAGGUCCGAGUUUAAGCGUAAUCCUGAUCACAAAAGCCCAUGUGUUCCUCCUGCUAGGCGGGAGCAACCUCGGAUAAAGCGACCACCAUCACCUGUAGUGCUUUGUGUUCCAAGGGCUCCACGUCCACCACCACCCUCUCCUGUGAGUGAAUCCAGAAAACAAAGGGGUUUCCCAACUGUUAGAUCUGGUAGUUCGAGCCCAAGGCAUUGGGGUGUUAGAGGCUGGUACCAUGAUGGAAAUAACCUUGAUGAUGCUUGUUUGCGCAUGGAUGGCGCUGAAGUUGUUUGGCCUACGUGGAGAAAUAACAAUCUUGCAGCUCAUCCAAUGAUUCAGCCUCUACCUGCAACUUUGCUGCAAGAUCGGCUGAUUGCAAUGUCACAGCUGGCUCGUGAUCAGGAACAUCCAGAUAUUGCAUUUCCCUUGCAACCACCAGAGUUACAGAGCUGUCCUACACAGAAGGCCUCUCUUUCUUUGAUGCACAGCCUCCUUCAUGAUGAGAUUGACUCAUUCUGGAAGCAGGUUGCCGCUGCAAAUAUGGCCAGGAAGCCCUACAUCAAUUGGGCCAUCAAGCGGGUUACACGAUCUCUCCAAGUUCUAUGGCCAAGGUCCCGGACAAAUGUAUUUGGUUCAAAUGCAACUGGUUUGUCCCUGCCAACGAGUGAUGUGGACCUCGUGGUUUGUCUCCCUCCAGUGAGGAACCUGGAACCUAUUAAAGAAGCCGGGAUAUUGGAGGGACGUAAUGGCAUUAAAGAAACUUGCCUUCAGCAUGCAGCCAGGUAUCUUGCAAACCAGGAGUGGGUAAAAAAUGACUCUCUUAAGGCUGUGGAAAAUACAGCUAUACCUAUCAUUAUGCUUGCGGUGGAAGUUCCUCAUGAUCUUGUUACCUCUUCUACCUCUAAUGCACAAUCACCUAAGGAGACGACUCACAUAACUGGUGAACAAGGCAGUGAUGCUCAUUCUGAUGCGGUUGUUUUUGAAGAUUCUGCUCCUUCUAGUACUAGAUGCAUACAGACAGAUCAUGUUACUAAUAAUGAUUCAAAAUCAGUUCGUCUUGACAUCAGUUUUAAGUCACCAUCACAUACAGGACUCCAAACUACAGAACUGGUUAAAGAGCUGACUGAUCAGUUUCCAGCUGCUACACCCCUUGCUUUGGUACUGAAACAGUUCUUGGCAGAUCGUAGCCUGGACCAGUCAUAUUCUGGUGGUUUAAGUUCCUACUGUUUGGUGUUACUGAUUAUACGUUUCCUUCAGCAUGAGCAUCAUCUUGGCCGGCCUAUUAACCAUAAAUUUGGAAGUCUUCUGAUGGAUUUUCUAUAUUUCUUUGGCAAUGUGUUUGAUCCUCGCCAAAUGCGUAUUUCGGUUCAGGGGAGUGGAGUUUACAUGAAAAGGGAAAGAGGUUGCAGCAUUGAUCCAAUACACAUUGAUGAUCCUCUAUUUCCAACAAAUAAUGUGGGGAGAAAUUGCUUUAGGAUACAUCAGUGUAUUAAGGCAUUUUCAGAAGCCUAUUCUGUCUUGGAGAAUGAGCUUACAUGCAUUCCUGAUUAUGGUGAUGCAUGUUCGAUGCCGCCAUGUAGAUUGCUUCCAAAAAUCAUCCCUAGUAUUGAUCUUGUAUAGGGAUUCUCACUAGCUGGAGAGUCAUGAUUGGAAGUUGAAACGUGGAGAUAGCUGGCAGGACUGCUUCCAUGUUUAGCAAGGUUGAGCUUAUUGCUUGGAGCUGCCAUCAUAUUCCUCAAAAGUUUUAGCUACAGAAAACUCAAGGGGUUGGCUCAAGUGGUAAGAGCCUUGGUCUUGGUGGUGUGCUCCCUCCACCUCAAAUGUUCACAAGCUCUUGGGUGCAAACAAUUUCUAGGGGUAUCGGACUGGGAGAAUUUUCUCUUAUAUUACCUGAGGACUCUGGCAUCAAAGAACAGUUGUUACUUGCACUCCACCUUCCAAGUUCAUAGUGCUGUUCUGGACUAAUCAUCACCGCUACCACCACGGCUCCUACAGAUGAAGUUAAGGUGCUGUUGUUAAACAGGACAGUGUUCAGUAUGUCGUGGACCAGAGAGAGUCGACUGUUUAUAUGCAUGAAGUCUGAAGAACAAGUUGGAUGGAACAUAGCAUUUGACAAUUUUGAGAUCUUGAUUUACCUAUCAUUGGCUUUCUAAAUCAAUCCAGAGCAUGGAAUGUUGUUAAUGAUGAUGAAUCAGCAGAUUCAAAUCAAUACAGACCGGAAUGCAGCAGAUGCAAAUGAAUGCAGCAUGGAAUGUGGUCAUCACUGCUUAGAAUUCUUGGAACUUCUACCAGUUUUUUGGAAGCCAAUGUGAUUGUCAACUUAUUGAUUUUAGAUCUUUUCUGCAUAAUAUGAGAAAUGGAGAGUAGGUUUAUUUAUUUUCAAGUACCAAAUCCCAUUGUAUGAAAGUGGGAAAUCUAUGGGGUGUUGGCACACAUACAUGGGCUUCGUAGAAUCGAGAUAUUUUUUUAUUUGAUUGGCAAUUGGUGUCCGAGAUCAGAGUCUUAACUAAUCUCAGGGGUGUAUAGAUUCUCGACAAGAAGUUUCCUGCAAGUACAAUUUGGAUAAUUUAAGAGUUAGUUUCUCAAGUCCAAUAGUCUUCAUAAAUUGUUUGCCCUCAAGAGGAUUCAAAUCUUUUACAUGGAGGGUGCAUUCCAUCAAGAUCAAGGUUUUGACCACUCGAGCCAACCCCAAGGGUUAUAGAAUCGAGAUUAUUACUUGGAUUCUGUUUUUUUCACUUUGUUAUUGGAGAAAAUUAAUGUACUGUAAUUUUUAUUUUUUAUAAAUGGUACCAAUUGUUUAAAAAGCUUAUAACUAAUAAUUAUAGUUAUGGUAAUGUUUCAAAUUA